rnacentral:rRNA from 1 species
GGAAUAUUGGACAAUGGGGGGAACCCUGAUCCAGCCAUGCCGCGUGUGUGAAGAAGGCCUUUUGGUUGUAAAGCACUUUAAGCGAGGAGGAGGCUACCUAGAUUAAUACUUUAGGAUAGUGGACGUUACUCGCAGAAUAAGCACCGGCUAACUCUGUGCCAGCAGCCGCGGUAAUACAGAGGGUGCGAGCGUUAAUCGGAUUUACUGGGCGUAAAGCGUGCGUAGGCGGCCAAUUAAGUCAAAUGUGAAAUCCCCGAGCUAAACUUGGGAAUUGCAUUCGAUACUGGUUGGCUAGAGUAUGGGAGAGGAUGGUAGAAUUCCAGGUGUAGCGGUGAAAUGCGUAGAGAUCUGGAGGAAUACCGAUGGCGAAGGCAGCCAUCUGGCCUAAUACUGACGCUGAGGUACGAAAGCAUGGGGAGCAA